rnacentral:rRNA from 1 species
AACUUUUANCAACGGAUCUCUUGGCUCUCGCAUCGAUGAAGAACCGCGCAA